GGAUAGAAUUGCAAUGCAAAUGAUCGAAGAACUACUUAACUGGAAUUGACCUGAAAGGCUGUGUAACCUCAUCAUCUUCUGGUGGGGAACCCUUCAGAUAAGACAAAUAUACAUUGAUCCCUGCAGCUCUAUAAUUAUGUAUGUAAGAAUACAUGUGUCUCCUUGCUCAACUUACCUUACAUAUGUAGCAAAUGGUUUCUGGAACGUAAUUAGUCCUUGGAAAUGGAAAAUUA
rnacentral:misc_RNA from 1 species